GACGAACGCUGGCGGCGUGCCUAAUACAUGCAAGUUGAGCGCUGAAGGUUGGUACUUGUACCAACUGGAUGAGCAGCGAACGGGUGAGUAACGCGUGGGGAAUCUGCCUUUGAGCGGGGCACAACAUUUGGAAACGAAUGCUAAUACCGCAUAAAAUCUUUAAACACAAGUUUUAAGUUUGAAAGAUGCAAUUGCAUCACUCAAAGAUGAUCCCGCGUUGUAUUAGCUAGUUGGUGAGGUAAAGGCUCACCAAGGCGAUGAUACAUAGCCGACCUGAGAGGGUGAUCGGCCACAUUGGGACUGAGACACGGCCCAAACUCCUACGGGAGGCAGCAGGAGGGAAUCUUCGGCAAUGGAGGAAAGGCUGAACGAGCAACGCCGCGGGAGGGAAGAAGGGUGUCGGAUCGUAAAACUCUGUUGGUAGAGAAGAACGUUGGUGAGAGUGGAAAGCUCAUCAAGUGACGGUAACUACUCAGAAAGGGACGGCUAACUACGUG
rnacentral:rRNA from 1 species